GGGAGGUGAAACGAACUAAGACGAACAAGCAUUUACAGAACACAAUUUCUGCUACUACUUGCUGAUGAUGAUGCUAAUGGCGCUGUCGCCUGUGGAGAUCAAAAGGUGGGCAAUCCAAUCCAGGUGGCAUCAUCGCCGGCGACCUCUACUUCAUGCUCUUCCUCGCCGCACCCUUGCGAGCAGCCGGCGCCGCAGCCACCGAC
rnacentral:misc_RNA from 1 species